rnacentral:tRNA from 1 species
GACCGCGUAGCUCAGUUGGCAGAGCAUUGGGCUAGUAUUCCAAAGGUCGUAGGUUCGAUGCCCACCGUGGCCA